GACGAACGCUGGCGGCGUGCCUAAUACAUGCAAGUCGAGCGGAUUGAUGGGAGCUUGCUCCCUGAUAUCAGCGGCGGACGGGUGAGUAACACGUGGGCAACCUGCCUAUAAGACUGGGAU
rnacentral:rRNA from 1 species